AGAGUUUGAUCCUGGCUCAGAACGAACGCUGGCGGCGUGGAUAAGACAUGCAAGUCGAACGGGAUCUUGGGUGUAGCAAUACAACCAAGGUUCAGUGGCGCAAGGGUGAGUAACACGUGGGCAAUUUGCCGGAAAGUGGGGAAUAGCUCGCCGAAAGGCGAAUUAAUACCGCAUGUGGCCAUUCUCCGCAUGGAGAAGAAGCUAAAGCUGGGGAUCGCAAGACCUGGCGCUUUCCGAUGAGCCCGCGGCCUAUCAGCUUGUUGGCGGGGUAAUGGCCCACCAAGGCAAUGACGGGUAGCUGGUCUGAGAGGACGACCAGCCACACUGGAACUGAGACACGGUCCAGACACCUACGGGUGGCAGCAGUCGAGAAUCUUUCUCAAUGGGGGAAACCCUGAAGGAGCGACGCCGCGUGGAGGAUGAAGGUCUUCGGAUUGUAAACUCCUGUCAUGAGAGAACAAGGCCUCCCGGUGAAUAGCCGGAAGGAUUGAUAGUAUCUCAAGAGGAAGAGACGGCUAACUCUGUGCCAGCAGCCGCGGUAAUACAGAGGUCUCAAGCGUUGUUCGGAUUCAUUGGGCGUAAAGGGUGCGUAGGCGGUGAGGUAAGUCGGGCGUGAAAUCCCGGGGCUCAACCCCGGAACUGCGUUCGAUACUGCUUCGCUAGAGGACUGGAGAGGAGACUGGAAUUCACGGUGUAGCAGUGAAAUGCGUAGAUAUCGUGAGGAACACCGGUGGCGAAGGCGGGUCUCUAGACAGCUCCUGACGCUGAGGCACGAAGGCCAGGGGAGCAAACGGGAUUAGAUACCCCGGUAGUCCUGGCAGUAAACGGUGCACGUUUGGUGUGGGAGGAUUCGACCCCUUCCGUGCCGGAGCUAACGCGUUAAACGUGCCGCCUGGGGAGUACGGUCGCAAGAUUAAAACUCAAAGAAAUUGACGGGGGCCCGCACAAGCGGUGGAGUAUGUGGCUUAAUUCGAUGCAACGCGAAGAACCUUACCUGGCCUUGACAUGGUGGGAUUAGGCGGAUGAAAGUCUGCUGAUUGCCCGCAAGGGUGUAACCAUCACAGGUGCUGCAUGGCUGUCGUCAGCUCGUGUCGUGAGAUGUUGGGUUAAGUCCCGCAACGAGCGCAACCCCUGUGAACUGUUGCCACCCCUCUUUCGGGAGGGCGCACUCUGUUCAGACUGCCCUGUUAAACGGGGAGGAAGGUGGGGAUGACGUCAAGUCAGUAUGGCCCUUACGGCCAGGGCUGCACACGUACUACAAUGCCCAGUACAGAACGAACCGAAACCGCGAGGUGGAGGAAAUCCCUAAAACUGGGCCCAGUUCGGAUUGGAGGCUGCAACUCGCCUCCAUGAAGCCGGAAUCGCUAGUAAUGGCGCAUCAGCUACGGCGCCGUGAAUACGUUCCCGGGCCUUGUACACACCGCCCGUCACAUCAUGGAAGUCACUUGUAGCCGAAGUGCGCACGCUAACCGCAAGGAGGCAGCGCCCUACGCUAUGAGUGGUAACUGGGAUGAAGUCGUAACAAGGUAGCCG
rnacentral:rRNA from 1 species